rnacentral:rRNA from 1 species
UGGGGGAUAUUGCACAAUGGGCGAAAGCCUGAUGCAGCGACGCCGCGUGAGGGAAGACGGCCUUCGGGUUGUAAACCUCUGUCAUUCGGGACGAAUAUAUGACGGUACCGAAGAAGGAAGCUCCGGCUAACUACGUGCCAGCAGCCGCGGUAAUACGUAGGGAGCGAGCGUUGUCCGGAAUUACUGGGUGUAAAGGGAGCGUAGGCGGGAAAGCAAGUUGGAAGUGAAAUGCAUGGGCUUAACCCAUGAGCUGCUUUCAAAACUGUUUUUCUUGAGUGAAGUAGAGGCAGGCGGAAUUCCUAGUGUAGCGGUGAAAUGCGUAGAUAUUAGGAGGAACACCAGUGGCGAAGGCGGCCUGCUGGGCUUUAACUGACGCUGAGGCUCGAAAGCGUGGGUAGCAAACA